UACAGAGGGUGCGAGCGUUAAUCGGAAUUACUGGGCGUAAAGCGUGCGUAGACGGUUACGUAAGUCGGAUGUGAAAUCCCCGGGCUCAACCUGGGAAUUGCAUUCGAGACUGCGCAGCUGGGGUUCGGAAGAGGGAAGCGGAAUUUCCGGUGUAGCGGUGAAAUGCGUAGAUAUCGGAAGGAACAUCAGUGGCGAAAGCGGCUUCCUGGUCCAGCACCGACGUUCAGGCACGAAAGCGUGGGGAGCAAACAGG
rnacentral:rRNA from 1 species